rnacentral:rRNA from 1 species
GACGAACGCUGGCGGCGUGCUUAACACAUGCAAGUCGAACGGAAAGACCCUGCUUUUGUGGGGUGCUCGAGUGGCGAACGGGUGAGUAACACGUGAGUAACCUGCCCUUGACUUUGGGAUAACUUCAGGAAACUGGGGCUAAUACCGGAUAGGAGCUCCUGCUGCAUGGUGGGGGUUGGAAAGUUUCGGCGGUUGGGGAUGGACUCGCGGCUUAUCAGCUUGUUGGUGGGGUAGUGGCUUACCAAGGCUUUGACGGGUAGCCGGCCUGAGAGGGUGACCGGCCACAUUGGGACUGAGAUACGGCCCAGACUCCUACGGGAGGCAGCAGUGGGGAAUAUUGCACAAUGGGCGGAAGCCUGAUGCAGCAACGCCGCGUGCGGGAUGACGGCCUUCGGGUUGUAAACCGCUUUCGCCUGUGACGAAGCGUGAGUGACGGUAAUGGGUAAAGAAGCACCGGCUAACUACGU